rnacentral:rRNA from 1 species
GACAGAGGUCCCGAGCGUUAGGCGGAAUCACUGGGCUUAAAGCGUGUGUAGGCGGAGUGCUAAGUACCUUGUGAAAUCCCACGGCUCAACCGUGGAACUGCUUGGUAUACUGGUUCUCUUGAGCCACCUAGGGGCGAGCGGAACAAGCGGUGGAGCGGUGAAAUGCGUAGAUAUCGCUUGGAACGCCAACGGUGAAAACAGCUCGCUGGGGGUGUGCUGACGCUGAGACACGAAAGCCAGGGGAGCGAACGGG